UGUUAGAAUAAUACUAAUAACAUAAUUAUAUAAUUUCAAUAUCUUUUGACUAUUUCAGGCGGUAAUAACGGUGGCGGUUCAAACAGUGGUUCACCAUCACAUUAUCUACCUCCCGGACAUAGUCCGACGCCUUCAAGUACGCCUGUGUCUGAAUUAUCACCCGAGCUCCUGCCGCCAAUACUGAAGUUUAGCCCCAAUUGGGCUCUUACUCUCCGUUCGUCCGCCUCUUUCCGUACGUAGAUCGUAACGUUUAUUGCUAUUUCCAAUACCAAAAAGGAAUACACUCUCUACCUACUCGAUCGGAACAAAACCCCCCGUGGAAAAUUCCUACCUGCCUAGAGAGGGCAAGGAUCGUAAAUUAACGAGAAGGGUCUAAUAAAAGAUGAGCAUCGGGAGAAAACUCCCUGCCUUUUUCUUUAUAAACUAAUUUCUUUGUGCUUUUUCUUUUUAGUUAUGGGUUUCCUCUCAAAAGUUCGUGUGAUGUAUUGGGUAUGAGUCGCGAGCAAUCACCUGGGGCACUGCGGACUGCCGGUGCCUUUACUGAAGUCCCACAAUGGUGCAGAGGAGUUCCGCAAUGUGGUUUAGCUUGUAAUUCAAUUUUGUAUUUGCUUGUUUAGCCUUAGGAUAAAGUUAGUGUGUAAUUCACUUUUGUAGUUCAGCUUUUAACUUUAGCGUGUAAUUCAGCCUUUAAACUUGGCAUGUAACUCCGAUGUUAAACAUUAAUUUGUAUUACAAUUUUCAGAUUAGCUCCUAAUUUAGUUUUAAAAUCAGCUGAGUACAAUUUUUCCUCGCAAAGUGCACUAUCUGUAAACGAGUUUUGGUUGUGUGUGUGAAUUAAAGUUAAGAACCACGCCACACACAAACAACGAAAAAUGGCGCAAACUAGUAGCAUGCACAAAAUUACAGUUGCACUAAUCACUGAUUUUGACAGAUAUUGUGGGCAACUGCAAACAAUAUCUUGUUGGGUCUAAUUCAAUUUGCGUGCGGCCAAGAUAUAUUCAUUAACAGGUAGCGGCAGUUGCCCAAAAAAAAUAAAAAUACUGAGUGCACUAUCUGUCGAAAUCAGUGAUUGGUGUAACUCUGAUUUUGAGUAUGCUACUAGGUCGCGCACAACUUUCAACUUUCACAACUUUAGCAAUUUGUAGCCAUAAAAAAUCAGCUUUUGAGCACAUUUGUUGAUUAUGUCAUACAAAAAUAAGAUACCAGUGUGAUAGCAAAAACGAUGAAUCGUAUGUAAAUUGGCAAUUUUGACACAUAAAAUGAAAUACCAAUAAUACAUAAAAAGUGAUCUCUCAUAAUACAAGAACAUGUAGUGUAAUAGAGCCUUUAAGGUACCAUCACACUACAUGUUCUUGCUUUAUGAGAUGUCAAAUUUUGCUGCUGUUAAAGUUGCACGCAUAGUGUGAUACGAAUAAAAAUAACACAAGAAAAUCACUUUUCAAAACACCACUGUUAUUUUUUCGAUUAGAGCGGUGCUCUAUU
rnacentral:sRNA from 1 species